GGCUAUGGCCAUGACACCUUGAACGUGCCCCGAUCUCGUCUGAUCUCGGAACUAAGCAGGGUCGGACCUGGUUAGUACUUGGAUGGGAGACCAUCUAGGAAUACCAGGUGCAGUAGGCG
rnacentral:rRNA from 1 species